CUCACCCUGUGUUAGAGGCUGUGCCUGGGCUCCUUAACCGCGCACUUCUGACUGGGAGCGGAGCGAUCCAGUGGCGAAGGACCACCCAUGCAUCGCUGGCCUCUGCCUGCCAGGAAAAAAAAUGAAGCUCAUCUCGAACACACAGUUGGCAAGAUUUUCCUGACACCCACCGCACGACGGUCGUCUCUCUGGUGAAUGUUGCCCAGCUGCCAAUUUCUAUUAUUGCUGGAAUC
rnacentral:lncRNA from 1 species